UAUGAAGCAGAUGAGUGUGUACGACUCCCCCUAGGAGGGCACGCCAGUCCAUCGCAAGUCACUUCCCCAGCUGAGGCAUUUACAGCUGGGUGGA